GCCUGGGUGGCGAAACUGGUAGACGCAAGGGACUUAAAAUCCCUCGAGGCAAUACCUCGUGCCGGUUCGAGUCCGGCCCCAGGCACCA
rnacentral:tRNA from 2 species